UUUUUGGAAGAAAAAAAGAACUUCAUUCUCUCUGAUUAAGCAAAAGGUUUAAGUUAUUUACAUGACUAAACAGAAAUAGAUUUAUUUUAAUGCAAACUACAAAAUGAUGGAUAUACUCUAAUAUCAUUUGUACAGUUUACAUUACUUGGAGUAGUCAUUAGUCUGGACCAUCUGAUUCGCUCUCUCUGCUUCCCUGCCAUCCUGAACCCACCUGAAAUUUACAUACAGGACAUGUGCCUUGUUGCCGCAACCAUGGAUCGAUGCAAUUAGUGUGAAACUGAUGCAAACAUGGCAAACUCCGAACAAGUUCCCCUCUGUUAACUUGUUCCAAGCAAAUAGAGCAUGUUAAUUCAUCUUCUGAAGCCUUCAUGCUCCCAUCAGCCUUCCUAGAGUCUUGCUUCAUCUCUGCUGAAGGUGAAGAAGAAGAUGCCUGCUGCAGUGAUGUGCUAGGAUUCUCUGAGCCAGGGACCUUAUACUUGUGGACAGGUAAGGCAUUUAUCUCUUCCUCACUCAUUGAAGGAGUUGUUGAAACAUUAUCAGAGUCCAGAGCUCUAAGGGUUUCAUAGUCUAGGUCAUCAAAUUCACGGUCAAGAAGAGCAAGCUGGAGCCUGAGUCCUUGUAGUCGUCCUCUUGUUGCAAAAGAUAUGGAUGGUGGCACAUGCAAACGCAAUUCAGCGUGACCAAGCAAGCCACUAGCAGUAGCAGCAUGAGCUCGGGCCUGAGCUUGAAGUUGUUGACAAGUAGCAUACAUUCUCAGGCUUGUGGCCAUCAAAAACACACCCACAACCAGCCAAAGC
rnacentral:misc_RNA from 1 species